AAUAUUGCACAAUGGGGGAAACCCUGAUGCAGCAACGCCGCGUGGAGGAUGACGCAUUUCGGUGUGUAAACUCCUUUUAUAUGUCAAGAAAAUGACGGUAGCAUAUGAAUAAGCACCGGCUAACUCCGUGCCAGCAGCCGCGGUAAUACGGAGGGUGCAAGCGUUAUUCGGAAUCACUGGGCGUAAAGGACGCGUAGGCUGGAUGCCAAGUCUGAUGUGAAAUCCUAUGGCUUAACCAUAGAACUGCAUUGGAAACUGGUAACCUAGAGUAUGGGAGGGGGAGAUGGAAUUAGUGGUGUAGGGGUAAAAUCCGUAGAUAUCACUAGGAAUACCGAAAGCGAAGGCGAUCUCCUGGAACAAUACUGACGCUAAGGCGUGAAAGCGUGGGGAGCAAACGGGAUUAGAUACCCCGGUAGUCCACGCCCUA
rnacentral:rRNA from 1 species